UACGUAGGGUGCAAGCGUUAAUCGGAAUUACUGGGCGUAAAGCGUGCGCAGGUUGUUGUGCAAGACCGAUGUGAAAUCCCCGGGCUUAACCUGGGAACUGCAUUGGUGACUGCAUAGCUAGAGUGCGUCAGAGGGGGGUAGAAUUCCACGUGUAGCAGUGAAAUGCGUAGAGAUGUGGAGGAAUACCGAUGGCGAAGGCAGCCCCCUGGGACGUAACUGACGCUCAUGCACGAAAGCGUGGGGAGCAAACAGG
rnacentral:rRNA from 1 species